CCUACGGGGGGCAGCAGUGGGGAAUAUUGGGCAAUGGGCGCAAGCCUGACCCAGCAACGCCGCGUGAAGGAAGAAGGCUUUCGGGUUGUAAACUUCUUUUCUCAGGGACGAAGAUAGUGACGGUAACUGAGGAAUCAGCCACGGCUAACUACGCGCCAGCAGCCGCGGUAAUACGUAGGUGGCAAGCGUUAUCCGGAUUUACUGGGUGUAAAGGGCGUGUAGGCGGGGAAGGAAGUCAGAUGUGAAAACCAGGGGCUCAACCUGUGACCUGCAUUUGCAACUGUUUGUCUUGAGUGCUGGAGAGGUAGGUGGAAUUCCUGGUGUAGCGGUGAAAUGCGUAGAUAUGAGGAGGAACACCGGUGGCGAAGGCGGUCUGCUGGACCGCAACUGACGCUGAGGCGCGAAAGCGUGGGGAGCAAACAGGAUUAGAUACCCGAGUAGUC
rnacentral:rRNA from 1 species